AACGCAAACAUCAAAUGCGAAGCUUAAUAUGUUGUAUGUCCCUAAAAGGUCACUGUAUUUUAAGAUGGCGCAUGCCAUAUGGAGCACCGGUCUGCUUCUUUUGUCUAAAAUAUUAAAAUAUAAAGCUAAUAAUAAUGCUUAGAAUAAAUGCUUGUUUGAAUUAUCAUUAAAAAAAAACAAAUUUGAGAAUGUGAUACAAGAAAUUUGAUAACUUAUAAGAUGAAAUAUCACACAUUGGGCCUUUAAAGUGAAACCAAGAGUACGUCUCCAUUUUAGGAGGGACUGAAUGCAUCCUGGGUAAUCAUUAUCAGAGUAAGAGCAGGAAAGUCCUGAAUUACAGGAACACUUCUGAGGUGGAUGAAGACUGACACACCUGCCGGUGGAAAAAGGAUUUCAACAAAAGUCGAGCCUAACUUAGGUUCAAAAUGUCACUUUUCAGCUUUUUGGUCCUUUUGGGGGCUGGGCUGGUGGUCAAGAGUGGUUUCCCUUACGUGUCUCCUUGUCUGCAUCCCUCCUCGGGUGACUCUUUGUGGUCCCCAGCCCCUUCCAGGUUUCCCUCAAGAACGCCACUCCCUGACCUACAUCUACACGGCCUUCUCCCAACCUGUGGAUCUCCCGGGUUUCCAUGAGUUCACGGCCAUGGGAAUGCUGGACAACAGGAUGAUUGACUACUAUGACAGCAAAGAGCAAAAAAAAAUUCCCAAACAGACGUGGAUGUCAGAGCAUCUUGAACAAGAGUAUUGGGAUAAAGGUACACAGUCCAGGAAGAGCAAGCAGCAGUGGUUCAAGGUCAACAUCGACAUCUUGAUGAAACGGAUGAGACAGAAUGACACGGAUACCCACGUUCUCCAGUGGAUGCACGGCUGUGAGGGUGAGAGUCAGGAGGAUGGUACCAUUAGGUUCAUCCGUGGGAUGGACAUGUACAACUAUGACGGAAAUGACUUCCUGUCCUUCGACGAUGACAACCAAGUUUGGGUAGCUACACUUGAUGCAGCUAAAGAAACCAAGAGGAAGUGGGAUGAUGUUCAAGUCCUGAAGGAAUACACCAAGGGUUACCUGGAGAAGGAGUGUAUGGACUGGAUGAGCAAGUUCAGGGACUACGGGAAAGAGCAGCUCCGAAAAGCCAGUAAGCCUGAUGUGCACCUGUUCUCACAAAAAAGCAAGAGUGAGAAAAACAUUAUCUUGACGUGCCUGGCCACUGGCUUCUAUCCUAAAGACAUCAUCCUGCAGAUCAAACGAAACGGUCGCAUCCUUACUGCAGACGAUGGACUGGAGACGUCUGGAAUUCGUCCAAAUGAGGACGACACCUUCCAGAGGAAAGACCGUGUUGAGAUUUUGAAGACAGAUUUGUCCACUUACACCUGUGAGGUUCAGCAUCCUGGCUCGCUUCUUCAUGUUCAAAAGGCCUGGGAUCACACUCUGCCUGUGGAGGAUGGCAGCACACCCAUUAUCAUCGCUGUUGUUGUUGUAGCAAGCUUUGUGGUUAUCGGAGCCAUUGUGGGAUUCGUCCUUUAUAGAAGGAAGGAGUGCAGAGACCGUUGUAAUGGGAAGAGUCAAUCCUCUACAGAUAGUUCUCCAGAUCCCUCUCCAGCUUCUUCUCUUGUCAAUAUGCGAAGUAAGUACACCUAUAUGUUUUGGAAACUGUUAUGUUGAUUCAUUCAUUUAUCUUCUGUAGCACUUAAUCUGGACUAAAGUCAGAAAAGGGGAGCUGGUUCCUGACUCCAGUAGAUGUUAACACCUCAUCUAAAGACAAAGCCAACAAUCCAAAGCCUGAUGAUGAGAAGAAGGCCUUGAUUGAAAGUUCUUCAGAUUCAUCUCCAGACUCAUCUCAGAAAACUUCUCCAGCUUCUUCUCUUACUAAUGUGAAAAGUUCUUCAGAUGAUUCUUCACAUGUUGAUGUAGAAGGUGACGGUGUCUGUUAGACCUGAGGUCUGGAUCCACGUCUGACCUCCCAUCCUACCUGUUUCUUCAAACUGAGGGUGUGAUGAAGGAACUGAGUAAAAAAGGAAACGUUGAAGAAUAAUUGUGAUACAUUAAUUGAAGGAAUGUGAUGAAAGGUAUGAAAACAAGAGUUUAUCUUAUUGUAAUAAGAUGAUUUAUUCCUGUGAUGUAAGUUCAACAUGUAACAAUAAAAGCACUUGAAGAUGGUGCUGUUUUAGAGGCGUAUUACAUGUAAAACUUGAGGAAAGUCCUCAGAUUAAGUGGAUGAAGGAUACAGACAAUAACGCAUGAAUGUUUUGCUGCUGGAGUGACAGAAAAAUUGUCACACAAUUCAGCACAUUCAUACAAACAUCGACCUGGAAUUUAAACAGAAGAAUAAACUUUCAUGUGACUUUUU